CCUACGGGCGGCAGCAGUGAGGAAUAUUGGUCAAUGGGCGCAAGCCUGAACCAGCCAAGUCGCGUGAGGGAUGAAGGCUCUAUGGAUCGUAAACCUCUUUUAUAAGGGAAUAAAGUGUGGGACGUGUCCUGUUUUGUAUGUACCUUAUGAAUAAGGAUCGGCUAACUCCGUGCCAGCAGCCGCGGUAAUACGGAGGAUCCGAGCGUUAUCCGGAUUUAUUGGGUUUAAAGGGUGCGUAGGCGGCUUUUUAAGUCAGUGGUGAAAGUCUGUGGCUCAACCAUAGAAUUGCAGUUGAUACUGGUCGGCUGGAGUAUGGGUGAGGCAGGCGGAAUGCGUGGUGUAGCGGUGAAAUGCUUAGAUAUCACGCAGAACCCCGAUUGCGAAGGCAGCCUGCCAAGCCAUGACUGACGGUGAUGCACGAAAGCGUGGGGAUCAAACAGGAUUAGAUACCCCAGUAGUC
rnacentral:rRNA from 1 species